rnacentral:tRNA from 1 species
ACCCCUGUAGCGCAAUGGAUAGCGCGUUGGAUUUCUAAUCCAAAGAUCGUGUGUUGAAAUCCCACCUGGGAUG